UGGGAUUUAAUGCUUCUGCUGCAUGUGUGUAUUUUUCAGAAGGGUAUUUAUGAAACUGCUAACACUGGUUUCCUCUGGGAAAGAGAGUUAUUUUUCAUUUUAAAUUCUUGCUCUUUCUGAAUUGGG